rnacentral:rRNA from 1 species
GAUGAACGCUAGCGGGAGGCCUAACACAUGCAAGCCGAGCGGGAUUUGUUGGUUAGCUUGCUAACUAACAAUGAGAGCGGCGUACGGGUGCGUAGCACGUGUGCAACCUGCCUUUAUCUGGGGGAUAGCCUUUCGAAAGGAAGAUUAAUACCCCAUAACAUAUUGAUUGGCAUCAGUUAAUAUUGAAAGCUCCGGCGGAUAGAGAUGGGCACGCGUAAGAUUAGCUAGUUGGUGAGGUAACGGCUCACCAAGGCUGCGAUCUUUAGGGGGCCUGAGAGGGUGAUCCCCCACACUGGUACUGAGACACGGACCAGACUCCUACGGGAGGCAGCAGUGAGGAAUAUUGGACAAUGGGUGAGAGCCUGAUCCAGCCAUCCCGCGUGAAGGACUAAGGACCUAGGGUUUGUAAACUUCUUUUAUACAGGGAUAAACCUACUCUCGUGAGGGUAGCUGAAGGUACUGUAUGAAUAAGCACCGGCUAACUCCGUG